AGCUCGCUUCAAGAUGGCCGCUUGGCUCGCAUUCAUUUUCUGCUGAACGACUUUUAACUUUCAUUGUCUUUUCCGCCCGCUUCGAUCGCCUCGCGCCGGCUGCUCUUUCCGGGAUUUUUUAUCAAGCAGAAAUGCAUCGAACAACGAGAAUCAAGAUCACUGAGCUAAAUCCCCACCUGAUGUGUGUGCUUUGUGGAGGGUACUUCAUUGAUGCCACAACCAUAAUAGAAUGUCUACAUUCCUUCUGUAAAACGUGUAUUGUUCGUUACCUGGAGACCAGCAAGUAUUGUCCUAUUUGUGAUGUCCAAGUUCACAAAACCAGACCACUACUGAAUAUAAGGUCAGAUAAAACUCUCCAAGAUAUCGUAUACAAAUUAGUUCCAGGGCUUUUCAAAAGUGAGUAACUUGCUUAGAAAAUGAAUUUAAAGAGAUUAUUCAUUAGUUCUUUGUGUUAUGCCAAAUGUUUACAUCUUUUUUCCCCAUUCAGAUGAAAUGAAGAGAAGAAGGGAUUUUUAUGCAGCUCAUCCUUCUGCUGAUGGUAAACCUUUUA
rnacentral:sRNA from 1 species